UAGGGAAUCUUCGGCAAUGGACGAAAGUCUGACCGAGCAACGCCGCGUGAGUGAAGAAGGUUUUCGGAUCGUAAAACUCUGUUGUUAGAGAAGAACAAGGACGUUAGUAACUGAACGUCCCCUGACGGUAUCUAACCAGAAAGCCACGGCUAACUACGUGCCAGCAGCCGCGGUAAUACGUAGGUGGCAAGCGUUGUCCGUAUUUAUUGGGCGUAAAGCGAGCGCAGGCGGUUUCUUAAGUCUGAUGUGAAAGCCCCCGGCUCAACCGGGGAGGGUCAUUGGAAACUGGGAGACUUGAGUGCAGAAGAGGAGAGUGGAAUUCCAUGUGUAGCGGUGAAAUGCGUAGAUAUAUGGGGGAACACCAGUGGCGAAGGGGGCUCUCUGGUCUGUAACUGACGCUGGGGCUCGAGAGCGUGGGGAGCAAACAGG
rnacentral:rRNA from 1 species